AUUGAACGCUGGCGGCAUGCCUAACACAUGCAAGUCGAACGGCAGCACAGUAAAGACUUCGGUCUUUAUGGGUGGCGAGUGGCGGACGGGUGAGUAACGCGUAGGAAUCUGUCCUGGAGAGUGGGAUAACCCGAGGAAACUCGGGCUAAUACCGCAUGAUAUCGAGAGAUCAAAGGCAGGGGACCCUUCGGGGCCGUGCGCUCUAGGGUGAGCCUACGUCGGGUUAGCUAGUUGGUGGGGUAAAGGCCUACCAAGGCGACGAUCCGUAGCUGGUCUGAGAGGAUGACCAGCCACACUGGGACUGAGACACGGCCCAGACUCCUACGGGAGGCAGCAGUGGGGAAUCUUGGACAAUGGGGGAAACCCUGAUCCAGCGAUGCCGCGUGUGUGAAGAAGGCCUUCGGGUUGUAAAGCACUUUAGGUGGGGAAGAAAGGUAAUGAGUGAAUAACUGAUUGCUUUGACGGUACCCGCAGAAUAAGCACCGGCUAACUCUGUGCCAGCAGCCGCCGUAA
rnacentral:rRNA from 1 species